UCUCGGUCGAUUCCGAAACUUCAGUACCACAAUAUUUCUCAGUGCCCUCUGACAAGGGCAGCGAAAACCCCAAGUGAAUAGGUCGCGUAUAUGCUGAGCAAUCUAAUGAAAUACAUCGAGAGAGCAGACGACGCAUAAUGAGGUCCCUCUCCACCGUCUCUCCACAACGCCUUGAUAACGUCAUGCCCAACAGCGCCAAUGAGAGCGCUUCUUCCUGCACAGCUGAUCGGUGGGGCCGCGGGGCAUCUGGAUGCGAGGCGGCCAGCAGACACCAAGCGUAAUGUCGGAAUCGUCGGAAUACGAAAGUGACGUCGCGUCGCUUCCAAGUGAUUCUGAGGACUACAGCUCCGAAGAAAUUGUGCUCGACGACGACCCUUAUUCCACAGACCCUCUACCACUUGACCCUGCUGCAGGUCGUGCUGCAGGUGAAGGUGCAGCCAGUGAAAGCGAGCCGUCCGAUAGCGACGACACUUUCAGAUGCCUCUGCACUCGCUGCAGUCCAGUGGAACCCGAUGAACGCCGGUGCUGCAGUUCUGUUGAUCGGGUGUCGGCUGUCUGUGAGGGUGCCGGGGUCAAUUGUAUCACCGAUCACCCACUCUUCAAUGACAUUUGUCUGCGGAGGGAGCUCCUGGUUGUUUAUGCACCAGUGUUUUGCCGGGAUGACCGUCGCAUGCGUGUUCUCGAGCCAUCUGACAAUAGACGUCUCCGAUACAGCGCGUAUUGCGCGUUCACAACAUGGAUUCAUGGAUACCUUGGGAUAAGAAACCGAAGGCAGAUUCCAGGAUGUGCUGUUCGAAGAAUCAGGACGUUGUUCCCGUCAGUUUCAUAUACGGGAUACUACGAGUAACACCAGGCAUAUCUCCCAUGUGUCAUAUAUUGUAACAUACUUUACUUUUCAUAACACCUUUCAAAUUCAACUCGUGCAGCAGGGUGUUUGCUCUAAUUAACGUGUCCAGAGGUUUUAUCUAAAACGAGUGCUACUUUUGAGCUACCUCACCA